ensembl:rRNA 5S_rRNA 5S ribosomal RNA
GUCUCAGGCCGUAUCAGCCUGAUGGCGCCCGAUCUCGUCUGAUCUCGGAAGCUAAGCAGGGUCGGGCCUGGUUAGUAUCUUGGAUGGGAAACCACCUGGGAAUCCCGGGUGCUCGAGGCU